AGUGAACGCUGGCGGUAGACCUAACACAUGCAAGUCGAACGGCAGCACAGUAAGAGCUUGCUCUUACGGGUGGCGAGUGGCGGACGGGUGAGGAAUACAUCGGAAUCUACUUUUUCGUGGGGGAUAACGUAGGGGAAGUUACGCUAAUACCGCAUACGACCUACGGGUGAAAGCAGUGGAUCUUCGCACCUUGCGCGAUUGAAUGAGCCGAUGUCGGAUUAGCUGGUUGGCGGGGUAAAGGCCCACCAAGGCGACGAUCCGUAGCUGGUCUGAGAGGAUGAUCAGCCACACUGGAGCUGAGACACGGUCCAGACGCCUACGGGAGGCAGCAGUGGGGAAUAUUGGACAAUGGGCGCGAGCCUGAUCCAGCCAUACCGCGUGUGUGAAGAAGGCCUUCGGGUUGUAAAGCCCUUUUGUUGGUAAAGAAAAGCAGCCGGUUAAUACCCCGCUGUUCUGACGGUACCCAAAGAAUAAGCACCGGCUAACUUCGUG
rnacentral:rRNA from 1 species